rnacentral:rRNA from 1 species
UACGUAGGGUGCAAGCGUUGUCCGGAAUUAUUUGGGCGUAAAGAGCUCGUAGGCGGUCUGUCGCGUCGGAUGUGAAAAUCCAGGGCUCAACCCUGGACCUGCAUUCGAUACGGGCAGACUAGAGUUCGGUAGGGGAGACUGGAAUUCCUGGUGUAGCGGUGAAAUGCGCAGAUAUCAGGAGGAACACCGGUGGCGAAGGCGGGUCUCUGGGCCGAUAUUGACGCUCAGGUGCGAAAGCGUGGGGAGCGAACCGG